rnacentral:rRNA from 1 species
UACGGAGGGUGCGAGCGUUGUCCGGAAUCACUGGGCGUAAAGGGCGCGUAGGUGGCUCGUGAAGCGUGCGGUGAAAGUCCGAGGCUCAACCUCGGAUCGGCCGUGCGGACUCGCGGGCUCGAGCGUUGUAGAGGCGGGUGGAAUUCCGGGUGUAGCGGUGGAAUGCGUAGAGAUCCGGAAGAACACCGGUGGCGAAGGCGGUCUGCUGGGCAGUUGCUGACACUGAGGCGCGACAGCGUGGGGAGCAAACAGG